GGCAACGACACCCUGUCCGACGUCUACACCCGCAACGGCACCCUGUCCGACGUCUACACCCGCAACGGCACCCUGGGCGACGAUGGCAGCAAUGGUACUUUGGCUGACGUCUACGCGGGCAACGGCACCCUGGGCGACGACGGCAACGAGACUUUGGCUGACGUCUACGCGGGCAACGGCACCCUGGGCGACGACGGCAGCAAUGGAACUUUGGCAGAUGCCGACACGGGCAACGGCACCCUGGGUGACGACGGCAGCAAUGGAACUUUGGCUGACGGCUACACGGGCAACGGCACCCUGGGCGACGACGGCAACGUGACUUUUGCUGACGUCUACACUGGCAACGGCACCCUGGCCGACGUCGAGACGGGCAACGGAACUUUGGCAGAUGGCAACGACACCCUGGGCGACGACGGAAACGUGACUUUGGCUGACGGCUACACGGGCAACGGCACCCUGGGCGACGACGGCAGCAAUGGAACUUUGGCUGAUGGCUACACGGGCAACGGCACCCUGGGCGACGACGGCAACGUGACUUUUGCUGACGUCUACACUGGCAACGGUACCCUGGCCGACGUCGAGACGGGCAACGGAACUUUGGCAGAUGGCAACGGCACCCUGGGCGACGACGGCAGCAAUGGAACUUUGGCUGACGGCUACACGGGCAACGGCAACCUGGGCGACGUCGACACGGGCAACGGAACUUUGGCAGAUGGCAACGGCACCCUGUCCGACGUCUACACCCGCAACGGCACCCUGGGCGACGAUGGCAGCAAUGGUACUUUGGCAGAUGGCUACGCAGGCAACGGCACCCUGGGCGACGACUGCAACGAGACUUUGGCUGACGUCUACGCGGGCAACGGCACCCUGGGCGACGACACCCGCAACGGCACCCUGGACGACGGCAGCAAUGGAACUUUGGCAGAUGCCGACGCAGGCAACGGCACCCUGAGCGACGACGGCAACGUGACCCUAGCUGACGUCUACACGGGCAACGGAACUUUGGCUGACGGCUACACGGGCAACGGCACCCUGGGCGACGACUGCAACGUGACUUUUGCCGACGUCUACACUGGCAACGGCACCCUGGCCGACGUCGAGACGGGCAACGGAACUUUGGCAGAUGGCAACGGCACCCUGGGCGACGACGGCAGCAAUGGAACUUUGGCUGACGGCUACACGGGCAACGGCACCCUGGGCGACGACGGCAACGUGACUUUUGCCGACGUCUACACUGGCAACGGCACCCUGGCCGACGUCGAGACGGGCAACGGAACUUUGGCAGAUGGCAACGGCACCCUGGCCGACACGGGCAACGGAACUUUGGCAGAUGGCAACGACACCCUGGGCGACGACGGAAACGUGACUUUGGCUGACGGCUACACGGGCAACGGCACCCUGGGCGACGACGGCAGCAAUGGAACUUUGGCUGAUGGCUACACGGGCAACGGCACCCUGGGCGACGACGGCAACGUGACUUUUGCUGACGUCUACACUGGCAACGGCACCCUGGCCGACGUCGAGACGGGCAACGGCACCCUGGGCGACGAUGGCAGCAAUGGUACUUUGGCUGACGUCUACGCGGGCAACGGCACCCUGGCCGACGUCGACACGGGCAACGGAACUUUGGCAGAUGGCAACGGCACCCUGUCCGACGUCUACACCCGCAACGGCACCCUGUCCGACGUCUACACCCGCAACGGCACCCUGGGCGACGAUGGCAGCAAUGGUACUUUGGCUGACGUCUACGCGGGCAACGGCACCCUGGGCGACGACGGCAACGAGACUUUGGCUGACGUCUACGCGGGCAACGGCACCCUGGGCGACGACGGCAGCAAUGGAACUUUGGCAGAUGCCGACGCAG
ensembl:lncRNA